GACGAACGCUGGCGGCGUGCCUAAUACAUGCAAGUUGAGCGCUGAAGGUUGGUACUUGUACCAACUGGAUGAGCAGCGAACGGGUGAGUAACGCGUGGGGAAUCUGCCUUUGAGCGGGGGACAACAUUUGGAAACGAAUGCUAAUACCGCAUAAAAACUUUAAACACAAGUUUUAAGUUUGAAAGAUGCAAUUGCAUCACUCAAAGAUGAUCCCGCGUUGUAUUAGCUAGUUGGUGAGGUAAAGGCUCACCAAGGCGAUGAUACAUAGCCGACCUGAGAGGGUGAUCGGCCACAUUGGGACUGAGACACGGCACAAACUCCUACGGGAGGCAGCAGUAGGGAAUCUUCGGCAAUGGACGAAAGUCUGACCGAGCAACGCCGCGUGAGUGAAGAAGGUUUUCGGAUCGUAAAACUCUGUUGGUAGAGAAGAACGUUGGUGAGAGUGGAAAGCUCAUCAAGUGACGGUAACUACACAGAAAGGGACGGCUAACUACGUG
rnacentral:rRNA from 1 species